rnacentral:rRNA from 1 species
CCUACGGGAGGCUGCAGUAGGGAAUCUUUCACAAUGGGCGAAAGCCUGAUGGAGCAACGCCGCGUGCAGGAUGAAGGCCUUCGGGUUGUAAACUGCUUUUAUAAGCGAGAAAUAUGAUGGUAACUUAUGAAUAAGGAUCGGAUAACUACGUGCCAGCAGCCGCGGUCAUACGUAGGAUCCGAGCAUUAUCCGGAGUGACUGGGUGUAAAGAGUUGCGUAGGUGGCAUAAUAAGUAGCUAGUGAAAUCUGGUGGCUCAACCAUUCAGACUAUUAGCUAAACUGUUAAGCUCGAGACCGUUAGGGGUAGCUAGAAUUUCUAGUGUAGGAGUGAAAUCCGUAGAUAUUAGAAGGAACACCAAUAGCGUAGGCAGGUUGCUGGGACGGUUCUGACACUAAGGCACGAAAGCGUAGGGAGCAAACGGGAUUAGAUACCCCAGUAGUC